rnacentral:rRNA from 1 species
GGGUUGUGAGGUUAAGCGACUAAGCGUACACGGUGGAUGCCCUGGCAGUCAGAGGCGAUGAAGGACGUGCUAAUCUGCGAUAAGCGCCGGUAAGGUGAUAUGAACCGUUAUAACCGGCGAUUUCCGAAUGGGGAAACCCAGUGUGACUCGUCACACUAUCAUUAACUGAAUCCAUAGGUUAAUGAGGCGAACCGGGGGAACUGAAACAUCUAAGUACCCCGAGGAAAAGAAAUCAACCGAGAUUCCCCCAGUAGCGGCGAGCGAACGGGGAGGAGCCCAGAGCCUGAAUCAGCAUGUGUGUUAGUGGAAGCGUCUGGAAAGGCGCGCGAUACAGGGUGACAGCCCCGUACACAAAAGCGCAUGUGCUGUGAGCUCGAUGAGUAGGGCGGGACACGUGGUAUCCUGUCUGAAUAUGGGGGGACCAUCCUCCAAGGCUAAAUACUCCUGACUGACCGAUAGUGAACCAGUACCGUGAGGGAAAGGCGAAAAGAACCCCGGCGAGGGGAGUGAAAAAGAACCUGAAACCGUGUACGUACAAGCAGUGGGAGCNGUGACUGCGUACCUUUUGUAUAAUGGGUCAGCGACUUAUAUUCUGUAGCAAGGUUAACCGAAUAGGGGAGCCGGAGGGAAACCGAGUCUUAAUUGGGCGUUAAGUUGCAGGGUAUAGACCCGAAACCCGGUGAUCUAGCCAUGGGCAGGUUGAAGGUUGGGUAACACUAACUGGAGGACCGAACCGACUAAUGUUGAAAAAUUAGCGGAUGACCUGUGGCUGGGGGUGAAAGGCCAAUCAAACCGGGAGAUAGCUGGUUCUCCCCGAAAGCUAUUUAGGUAGCGCCUCGUGAAUUCAUCUCCGGGGGUAGAGCACUGUUUCGGCUAGGGGGCCAUCCCGGCUUACCAACCCGAUGCAAACUGCGAAUACCGGAGAAUGUUAUCACGGGAGACACACGGCGGGUGCUAACGUCCGUCGUGAAGAGGGAAACAACCCAGACCGCCAGCUAAGGUCCCAAAGUCAUGGUUAAGUGGGAAACGAUGUGGGAAGGCCCAGACAGCCAGGAUGUUGGCUUAGAAGCAGCCAUCAUUUAAAGAAAGCGUAAUAGCUCACUGGUCGAGUCGGCCUGCGCGGAAGAUGUAACGGGGCUAAACCAUGCACCGAAGCUGCGGCAGCGANGUUGGGUAGGGGAGCGUUCUGUAAGCCUGCGAAGGUGGCCUGUGAGGGUUGCUGGAGGUAUCAGAAGUGCGAAUGCUGACAUAAGUAACGAUAAAGCGGGUGAAAAGCCCGCUCGCCGGAAGACCAAGGGUUCCUGUCCAACGUUAAUCGGGGCAGGGUGAGUCGACCCCUAAGGCGAGGCCGAAAGGCGUAGUCGAUGGGAAACGGGUUAAUAUUCCCGUACUUGGUGUUACUGCGAAGGGGGGACGGAGAAGGCUAUGUUGGCCGGGCGACGGUUGUCCCGGUUUAAGCGUGUAGGUGUGUGUUCCAGGUAAAUCCGGUUCACUUUAACACUGAGGCGUGACGACGAGGCACUACGGUGCUGAAGCAACAAAUGCCCUGCUUCCAGGAAAAGCCUCUAAGCAUCAGGUAACAUCAAAUCGUACCCCAAACCGACACAGGUGGUCAGGUAGAGAAUUGGUUCCGCGAACUCUCUUGAGCCCACUUCCUUGAUCCGUUUUACCACGGCAUUGAAGCCCUCUUCCGUGCGACUGUCGUAGGUGAAGUGAUUUACUCAUGGAGCUGAAGUCAGUCGAAGAUACCAGCUGGCUGCAACUGUUUAUUAAAAACACAGCACUGUGCAAACACGAAAGUGGACGUAUACGGUGUGACGCCUGCCCGGUGCCGGAAGGUUAAUUGAUGGGGUCAGCGCAAGCGAAGCUCCUGAUCGAAGCCCCGGUAAACGGCGGCCGUAACUAUAACGGUCCUAAGGUAGCGAAAUUCCUUGUCGGGUAAGUUCCGACCUGCACGAAUGGCGUAAUGAUGGCCAGGCUGUCUCCACCCGAGACUCAGUGAAAUUGAACUCGCUGUGAAGAUGCAGUGUACCCGCGGCAAGACGGAAAGACCCCGUGAACCUUUACUAUAGCUUGACACUGAACAUUGAGCCUUGAUGUGUAGGAUAGGUGGGAGGCUUUGAAGCGUGGACGCCAGUCUGCGUGGAGCCGACCUUGAAAUACCACCCUUUAAUGUUUGAUGUUCUAACGUGGACCCGUAUAGGCCCAACGCCUGUCACAGACCACCCAUCAAACUGACCCCGCCAGAGGAGGAUUUCUCAUUGCCUCCUCGUGCUUGGUUGGCUAAUCCUGGUCGGACAUCAGGAGGUUAGUGCAAUGGCAUAAGCCAGCUUGACUGCGAGCGUGACGGCGCGAGCAGGUGCGAAAGCAGGUCAUAGUGAUCCGGUGGUUCUGAAUGGAAGGGCCAUCGCUCAACGGAUAAAAGGUACUCCGGGGAUAACAGGCUGAUACCGCCCAAGAGUUCAUAUCGACGGCGGUGUUUGGCACCUCGAUGUCGGCUCAUCACAUCCUGGGGCUGAAGUAGGUCCCAAGGGUAUGGCUGUUCGCCAUUUAAAGUGGUACGCGAGCUGGGUUUAGAACGUCGUGAGACAGUUCGGUCCCUAUCUGCCGUGGGCGCUGGAGAACUGAGGGGGGCUGCUCCUAGUACGAGAGGACCGGAGUGGACGCAUCACUGGUGUUCGGGUUGUCAUGCCAAUGGCACUGCCCGGUAGCUAAAUGCGGAAGAGAUAAGUGCUGAAAGCAUCUAAGCACGAAACUUGCCCCGAGAUGAGUUCUCCCUGAGACUUAGAGUCUCCUGAAGGAACGUUGAAGACGACGACGUUGAUAGGCCGGGUGUGUAACGCGUCGCUACGC